AUUCUUCUGGCGCUCCUAUGACCUUAUGCAGUUGCGAACGCGGUAAAGCCUCUACUAAAACUUUUUAAAAGUCAUGGGAGACAGCAGUCCUCCUGGAGACUGGCAUUGUAAUAUAAGAGGAAAAAACCACAAGGGGGGAAGUAGGAAGUGGUGUUUUGUACAGGUGGUUGUCUUGGACAGGUGGCCCUUGUCAGAGCAGGUUUGACUGUUCCUGUAGUGUGUGCGAAAAGGCUGAGAAGUCUGGGACUCUGCCUGUGUUUUGAAAGACGUGUCACUUUGGGGGGUGAGAUGUAGCAACUACUUUUUUGUAUUUUUUUCUACAUUUCUGAAUGCUUCGCGGGAAGCCAGCUAUGUUUCUGGGUGUUCUAGGGUCUGUUGGGGUAAUAGUAAAGAGCAUGCUGUAUAGCAUUGAUAUACGCUAUUUACAUGCAGUUAUUAUUAUUAUUGAUUUGAUUUUUUAAAUAAAAUUUGUUAUUUGUGAAGACUGUAUCAUGUAAACCAUGCAAUAUGAGAUUUAUUCUUUCAAUAGUAUCUUUUUUUUCUAUGGUUCUUUUUGGCUGUGUCAUGAUCCCAGAAUGUAUUGAACAUGGAAAGCCAAGUAUUGUCAGGUGAAGUGUCAUCAGCAUUGAAAUGAGCGUUCAAACGCCAAACAUUUUUUUGUUGUUGUAGAAAAAUGAAUUCUCCUUUCCUGUUUCUCAUUAUAUUUUAUGGAAUGGUGCAAUUGAUUAAGUCUCAAGUCAGUUCUGUAAUAAUUUAAUUUAAGCAUGCCUGAUGUGUGUAAAGAUAAUGAACUUUUGUAUGUUAAGAGGACUCCAAAAAAAAAAAAGAAGAAAUAUCUUGCCUGUGAAGUUGAUAUUUUAUGACGUAUGUGUAGCUGUUUAUUUGAUUGUGUAAUUGGUGCCAGUUUUCCUGUGUGUUUUUUUGUUUUUUAAAAUUCCUUUGAGUGAAUUGACGAGUUGUUGAAUGUAUUUGUUGCGCAUGUUCCCUACCAGCAAACUUGUUUACCUCAUGUUGCCGUGUGAUGAAUUGUUGUUUCCGACUUUCAGAAUUUUUGGGAAAGAAAAACCAUAUACGUUGCUGUGACCGUAGAUAUGUAGGGCAGAGGAUGAUGUACCGUGUACACGCACCAUUGAUUUUAUACACGUACAUGCUUCCUUCAUGAACUGUUAUUACCAUUACCAUACUUAUCCACAUACGCACACUACUGGGUUCCUAGAAUGCGGUUCCUAAACUUGUCUUGGCUUUGUGGGAGAUCUGACAGUCCUAAAAUGAGAUUGGACACAUUAUUGUUGCUCUAGUUUGAGUCUGAUCUUGAGAGGAAAGUGGUGUCAUUUUGAGAUAUACAAGUCUAGAAGAAUGACAUUGGACAUACCAUCAGAGGGUUUCAGGUUCAUUUCCCCUUUUCAGCGAUAGGACAUUGGACCCUCUGAAAAGGUAGGCCUACUUUGCCUAAUUUUCCUAAAUGCACCCAGCAGCAAACUGACUCUAAACAAUUGGUAAAAAUGUAAUUUUUUUUCUCUGUCAGUUGUCAGUUGAAUCACAAUCAAGAUAUUAUUUUCUCUGUCAACCGUGUCUCUCACAUGAGGGGCUGGUUUAUUUCAGUGAAAAGUAGAAUGUCCAACCCCACUGUAGCAGGUAGCAUUUUAAUCAUAAUCGAGGUCAGUUUUCACAUUAUUUUUUUUAAAUCGCCAGCUAAAGAAAACUGUUUUUCGAAAUGUCCCUCCCCAGCAAGGCACAAGUUUAGAACCUGUUCCUGAUCUUCAACCACUCGCUGACCACACAAGCAAAAGGGCACAAAUUCACGAGCAGACACACACUCACUAGUAGACACACACACACACACUCACCGCAUGUAGAUGAUUAUAUGCCAUGUAGAACUGGUUGUGUGUACCCCUCGGCUGUGACCAACCGCGACAAACGGUUGCUGUUUCCUCAUACAUAAUGUCUUGUCCUCAUCUCCCCCCCCCCCCUGUAUUUUCAAAGUGUACACCGGUACCGUGUUGAUGUGAUAAGUCUGGCUAUGACUCUGAGUGCACCACUUUUAUUGCAGUUCAGAGGUCGUGCCUUUGGGCAUAGUACAUUUAUAUUGCAGUUCAAAUGUCGUGCUUCUAAUCCCGUUGUGUGUACACAGAUUCCAAGUUGCUUGUAUGCCUGUAAUACAUGUAAAUAUUUCUAUAUAUAUAUAUAUAUUAUGCAUGUACUCAUGUACUACAUGUAAAUAAUAUAUGCAUGUACUCAUGUACUACAUGUAAAUAAUAUAUGCAUGUACUCAUGUACUACAUGUAAAUAAUAUAUGCAUGUACUCAUGUACUACAUGUAAAUAAUAUAUGCAUGUACUCAUGUACUACAUGUAAAUAAUAUAUGCAUGUACUCAUGUACUACAUGUAAAUAAUAUAUGCAUGUACUCAUGUACUACAUGAAAAUAUUAUAUGUGAACAAAACCGGGGGAUUACAGAUUGGGUAAGAAGUGGAAGAUAAAUAGAAGCUGGUGGUUCCAGAAUUUUUUUCAGGUUAAACAGUUCCUGUUCGUGUGAAAAAAAUAAUUGUCUAUUGUACCCCCAUGCCCCUUCUCAUUUACUGCUCGAGCAGAUACUGGGGUAGUUUCUCUCUCUAGUCAGUCGCUCAUCUUUUCUCCAACAUUAGAGACAGUCAGAAAACGUGGGUAGCUGUUGAGAUUUUUCGUUUGUCUUGAUAUCCUGAAAUAGGUUUGGCUCCUUGAGUGUAGUCUGAAAAAGUCCCUUUAUUAUAUAUUGGUGGUGAUAAGCGUCUGGUACUAUGUUUAUUGUGUCUAAUGUUUUGACUGAUGCUGAUUUCUUACUUUGACCUAAAUUAGUCAAAUAGUUUUACUACUUUAAUAUAAGAUAGUGAAAAAAUAUCAGCUUCAUACUGGAGCAUAGUAUGUGAGUCACAAAAGAUCUAAAGUGUGUUGAUGGGGGCGUAAAAAAACCCCACAUUGACAAAAAAGUGUUUUUGAUUCUGUUGUUAACAGUCAGGAACUGACCUCAGAGGUGCCAUGCAUCCUGAUGUGAGUUGGUUUUUUUUCAACCAGCCAAUGUUGUUUUUAAUUCAAUCCUACACGUACUCAGGUUUCAGUAAUCGUUUCUCAUGUUCAAUUAGAGUGCAUGUGUAGGUGAGGUGAAUACAGCCCGAGUUCGCAAACCGCUUGACAUUUUUCUCAAGGUAGUUUACGAUGUAGUCAAAGCACAAUUUAGUUUUGCCCAUAUAUAUUCGACAGCCUCUGCACCUUCGACUGAAGUAUUUUUUAUGGCUUGAUAGAAGUUGUUUUCUCUGUCAGUUUUUUGAUAGGCAGAUGACCUCUUUAACACUGCUUGCCCUUUGGUUGAAAAACAUUUAGAUAGCAGUUUCUCUCCAGUUUUUUCAACGCAUCCGUGAGCUUUGAUCAGCUUUGGCUAUCCAAAUUAGCUAACAGUUUGGAACAGCUCUUCUGUCUUUUUUUUUUUGUUAACUUGCAUUCUUAAAUUUUUUGUAGGGCCUUGACAGUUUUUCUUUGACAGGAUUUUGAUUUCCUGUAACCUGGUAACAUUGUUACAGGAUUACUUAGUUGGCAUUUGCUCUUGUUCCAAGUGAAGACGACAGGGGAAAGUCUGGUGAUGUCAAAAUCUAUUCCUUUGUUUUUUAAUUAAGUAGGCCCUACCUACUGUGCAACACAAUGCAGUCAUGAAAAGAUGAAAUUCAUCUACAGAAACCAAUAAAUAAAUAUGUCACCAACAGAACACAAAGACUUCAAAGAACUGUACACACAGGAGAAACCUGAAAUGAUGGGGUGAAUUUUUCAGUUACUGGGAAAAUGUGACAUCACCAGAGAGUAUUUAAUUAUAUUUAAGAGUCUCUGACAUCACCGGUUCCCCUCCCAGUAGUCUUCAGGUGUGUAGUCGUGUCGUGUAGGCAAGAGGAUCAGUGUAGCGUUAGUUACUGCCUGUUUACUUUUGACCUGCCCUGCAUAUAGUCAUAGCCCAAGUCAGCAGUAUACAGUAUUUGAAUAGUGUGUGUGUAUGCAUGGACAUGAGAGAGUAUGUGUAUGUGUGCAUGGACAUGAGAGUGUGUGUGUGUAUGAUGUGUGCAUGUAUACCUUGCAGUGGCGUACCCCCUGUCCAGUUCUCCUCCACUGCUCUAUGAUAAAGUGUUCCAGUGAGACCGCCAGAUCGACAGCUGAGUAUAAGACUCUGACAAACACCGUAAUGCAUUGUUGAUGUUGAUGUUGUGUCUGUCAGUCUUGCAUCCACCCGUCGGGAUGUCUCUUAUUUGUUCUCUUCCCUUCCUAAUCAUUCCUGUAGACAGUGCUGGUCUCACUGAACCUGUCGCUAGCGUCACUUUUGUCAGUCCAUGCAGACAUUUGGUCAUUUCUCCCACGCCCCUCUUCCCUCUCGUCUCCUUUUUUCUACCGAAAACUUCUGAGUGACUAUUGAUAUUGUCUUAGUCUUAGAAAAGCAUGUGCAUGCUGGAUUUCAUUGGAUGUGCGUGCCACAUUUCCAGGAUGUGUCUGAAAGUCUUUAAUUAGUGCUCAGAACUUUUUGUUUCAUUUUCAGCUAGUGGAACUCUGCUCUGUAGAUGUGAUCCCAACAGUUCUUUUGAAGGUCUCAACUCAACUAGUUCUGUAAAUGUGUUAGACUGGGUGGCAUCUCUUCCUACAUUGUAUGUAAUUACAGUUGAAAUUGUCCAAGACAGUCACACUCUGUUGAGGAGAAAAGUGGUUGUUUUAGACAUGUUGGUGUCUUGGAUGAAAUCAUUAUAAUUAUAAUAUGAAAAAAAACAACCACAAUGAGGGAAAUGGGAAGUUGUCGUUUGUACAGGUGAUUGUCUUGGACAUGUGGCUGUCAGAGCAGGUAGGACUAGUCUUAUAAUAGCUCCGACAUUGUUUCUCUCAGCUAGAUAUGUGUACACGUAAGAGUGAGGCAUUGGCAUGAAUGAUGAGAACAUUUUUUUUUAUAAAGUCAGGAAGUUUAUGUUAAUGUUGUCGGUAAUGUGUGUCUUGAAGUGUUGUAAGCUCAGCUUCAACAGCUUGUAAGACUAAGAAGACAUAGUAAAGCAGUUUUUGAGGCAGAGGAGAGGGGUUCAGAUCCUGUUUUGAUUGAAGCUGUAGCCAAGUUGUUGAAAUAGUUAUUCAGAUUCUUCACUCCAUAGUUUUCCGGGGGGGGGGGGGGGGGGGGGGGGAAAGAGAAAGAGGGGGAGCUGCAUGUGCCCUCUUUGAGACCCUGAGCGUUGAGGGCAAGAACAACAGACGGAUGAGUACUUAUGGAGUUGUCUAGAGAUGUUCUUGAGAGGAAAUCUACAAGCUUGCAUUAAGAUAUGGGGGCAGGGGGGGUGUUAAAUAAACUAGAGCUCAUGGGGAGCAGGUCCUUCGUACACAGACGUGGCAGAAUGUGGCUCCCCUUGAGAGAAAGCUCUAUGGCAGUCUGUCAGAGUUGGAGCGAACUGCACAGUUUGUGCCCGACAUCGGACUGACUGUCUAGCUGCUGUCAUCGAGAACGAGGAAGAAGAAGAAAUGGGGAGCAGGGUGGGGGCUUACUUGAAUUAUUUAAUUUGGGCACGCCGGCUAUGCCGUUGAGGGCAGGAAUGCCUCAAUGUCUGACAAGCACGAUAUCACUGCCGUGAACUCUAGUACUGUAUGUAUAUAUAUAUAUAUAGAACCUCUUUGGCGUGGAGUCAUUGUGUGUACCGACAGUAGCCAACCCGAAUCUUCUCAAUCUCAAUGUAAAAACUUGUGAGAAAUAGACUUUUACAUCCCCUACUGUACAUUCAUUGGGUUUUUUUCAUACCAUUUAGUGAAUAUUGUAUGUACAUAUGAAUUAUUAUUUUAAAGCACAUUAAAAGAACUCUAUUGCAAUGUCA